UACGUAGGGGGCAAGCGUUGUCCGGAAUCAUUGGGCGUAAAGAGCGUGUAGGCGGCUCGGUAAGUCCGCUCUGAAAGCCCGGGGCUCAACCCCGGGAGGCGGGCGGAUACUGUCGGGCUAGAGUCCGGAAGAGGAGAGUGGAAUUCCUGGUGUAGCGGUGAAAUGCGCAGAUAUCAGGAAGAACACCCGUGGCUAAGGCGGCUCUCUAGUACGUGACUGACGCUGAGACGCGAAAGCGUGGGGAGCGAACAGG
rnacentral:rRNA from 1 species